ACCAGUUAUUAUCCGGCCUCAGUUGGGUAUCGAUUUUAUACAAAUGUUAAAGUACCUGAUACUGUUAUCAACAUUUCAAACAAAUCGCCGACGCCUUAAUAGUAUGAUGGUCUAAUAGUUAAUAAAAGUUGUGUAACUUUAUUUUGUUUAUGAUAUCGAAGACGGAUUUAAUAAAAAAAUGGAUUACAGGCUCAUCCGGAUAGCAGUCUUAUUACUUACUGUUAAAACGGCGAACAUGGUUGAAUCGUUGAAAAACGGCGAUGAGUGCGUGUGUUCAACAGGGGCUAUAAAAGAUUUAUCCAGGGCUACAGCUACGACAACGCAAACGCUACCUCCAAAGUCUAGCAAGAAUGUAACAACGAGCACACAACCGUCAACAGAAAAGGAAGGAUAUUCCAAAUCGGCAACAUCAAAAAUAACAACAGCAACACAAAUGAGUACCAAGCAACCUGCUACAAACGCAUCAAUUUCAGAAACACACACAACACCCAACGGUAGCAGUGAAUCCACAUCAACAUUACAAUCAACUGCAACGACAUCAUCAACAACAUCAACACCAACGUCAACUACAACACCAACAAAUACAUCAACAACAACACCAUCAACAACAACAUCAAUUACAACACCAACAACAAUAUCAACAACAACACCAUCAACAACAACAACAUCAUCAACUACAACAACACCAUCAACAACAACACCAUCAACAACAACACCAACACCAUCAACAACAUCAACAAAAACAACAUCAACAACAACACCAUCAACAACAACAUCAACAACACCAUCAACAACAACACCAUCAACAACAACACCAUCAUCAGCAUCAUCAUCAUCAACAACACCAUCAACAACACCAUCAACAACAACACCAACAACAACAACAUCAACAACAACAUCAACACCAUCAUUACCAUCAACAACAACAUCAACAACAACACCAAUAAUACCAUCAACAACAACACCAAUAAUACCAUCAACAACAAUAUCAACAACAAUACCAUCAACAACAACACCAUCAACAACAACACCAUCGACAACAACACCAUCAACAACAACACCAUCAACAACAACACCAUCAACAACAACACCAUCAACAACAACAAAAUCAACAACAACAAAAUCAACAACAACACCAACAAUAACAUCAACAACAACAAAAUCAACAACAACAACACCAUCAACAACAACACCAUCAACAACAACACCAUCAACAACAACACCAUCAACAACAACACCAACAACAUCAACAACAACAAAAUCAACAACAACAACAUCAACACAAUCAACAACAACAAAAACAACAACACCAUCAACAACAACAUCAACAACAACAACACCAUCAACAACAACACCAUCGACAACAACACCAUCAACAACAACACCAUCAACAACAACACCAUCAACAACAACACCAUCAACAACAACACCAUCAACAACAACACCAUCAACAACAACACCAUCAACAACAACACCAUCAACAACAACACAAUCAACAACAACACCAGCAAUAACAUCAACAACAACAAAAUCAACAACAACAACAUCAACACAAUCAACAACAACAAAAACAACAACACCAUCAACAACAACAACACCAUCAACAACAACAUCAUCAACAACAACAGCAGCAAAACCAUCAACAACAUCAUCAACAACAACAACACCAUCAACAACAACAUCCACAACCUCAAAAACAACACCGUCAAUUACACCAAAUAGAAGACGAAGACGGUCUUCCGAAGAAAAUUUUGGUGUGUGGACUAAUGGAAAAUGCUGGUGUGACGGUACCGUGGAAACCCAUAGCAUCGCUGAUGUAAAAAUUGCAGUGCCUCUGCAGGCUAAGAUCGCAGUCAACUUCUCGGAAGAAUUAGAAAACAAAACAUCGGCAAAAUUUAUGGAAUAUCAAACACAAUUCCGAACAGCGCUGACAGACAAGUUCAAAGAUAUCAAAGGAUUCCAAUACGUUCUUGUCCAAAAUUUCACAAAUGGUAGUGUCGUUUGCAACUACGAGGUUGUGUUUCAAGGAACUGAUCUUGCUGAAGAAGCGGAGAACAAUCAUAGAGGUUUUAAUAAAAGUUUACACGUCACUGUCGGUAACAAAAGCUUACAAGUGGAAAUUAAUGACGAUGCUAUCAAAGCCAUUUUCCAACAAGCCGCAAAUAACUCGGGAUGCCAGUUUCUUCAGAACCCAUGUGGUAAGAAUGACGCGACACAAUGUGAUUCAGGCAUCAUAUUAUGUGUUCAACCAUGUGGUCAGCCCGGGGCCAUCAGUUGUGGCGAAUAUGGUUCUUGCUUUUACGACCAGAGAACGCAGUCAACCGCGUGCAGAUGCGACGAAAGCGACACACAUGUCUUUAGUGGUAAACAUUGCGAGGUGAGGGUGGAGAGACUACAACUGGAGUCCAAGUAUAUCAUUUCCAUAGCAGCCAGCGCGGGCGGUGUUGUAGUGAUCGCUGCGACGGUGGUCAUCGUGUGUCUUGUAUACAGGCUGAGAAGAAAGGCAGUAAUGGAUGCAGACGAAAGCGGAGAAGACAUUGCGCUAGAUAACCUAAAAAGAUCAAGUCGGACACAAUCCGAGAACAGUUACGAGAAGUUCAGAGGGCGGCACAUAUCAAAAGAGGCGACUUCAAACGGCUCCAUUGGUGACCUCAAAAGGUCAGAGGAAACGAGGGUACUGGACGGCAUUGAUCACAAAGUGACAAGGGACGACAAAGGCAAUGAGAUGUACAUCUACCAGCCAAAGCAGCCACGUGACCUCGGUCGACAGCGUCAGUCAUCCGUGUACUCGUCUGCGUCAGAGGACAACGCGCAGACCGGAAGUAGCAUGUACGACUAUAUUGACACCGAGACGAAGUAUCAAAUCCGCCGACCAAAUGUCAGCAUUAGAACCAUUCGCAUAUGAGAUGGAACAUUCAGCAAAAAAGUAUUGUGUACACAAUGAACGGCAUUAUAAGUGACAAUUUUACGAUACACAAUUGGGCUGUCAAUCGUGCGACGCCUUAAAUUACUCGAACGUUCAAAAGGGCAAUAUAGGCAUAAUAAGUGAAAAUUCUACGAAACAGCAUUGAACUAUUAAUGGUUUAAUGCAUUGGAUCACUUAAACGUUCAAAAGUUGAAUAUAGGCAUAGUGACAAUUAUACGAAACAGCAUUGAGCUAUUAUGUUUGACGCAUACAAUUGCUUUUACGUCAAAAAGGCGUUUACGGAAAUAAAAAUGAUAACAAGAGAUAAUUCAAAAAAGCCUUGACCUUUAUUGAGCAUUUCACACAAUCCAUAUUGAAUAGUUAUUAAUAAUUGUUAGGUCAAAUGUAGCAUUUGAUAUUUUGGUUUGCGUGUUUUCCUACGCAGUUUUUACUUUCUUGUUAUCAAUCAGACAGCAUAUGAAACGAAUGUUAAUUAUAUGUUAUAAGUCAAAAUGUUAUGUAUGUAUAAAACUAAUAUUGCUAAUACACGUUUGCAUGAUUGUUCAUAAUAACUCCAUUUUGUUUAUACCCGUACGUUUGAAUUUUUCAAUUGUGUUGUUUUUUUGCAUCACGAGAUACUGUACUGUUUCCGACAAAAGAAUCGUUAACCGAUUAGAAUUUCUAACUGAUGUGAGGUUUUCAGUGGCCUCCACUUAAACGUAAGAUAUGUUUUUUAUCAAGGGAGACACAUGCGGAAUGUUUACUGUUUAACAUAGGUGGAGAGAACAAGAGUGGAAUGUGGGGGCAUGUAUACUAUCAAUCUUUGCUAAGUGCUUACCUUUUAUCAGGUGAAUUCUUCAACAACUGCGCUUAAGGGCCAAAAUGGCCCUCUAGUGACAUGAUUACUAAAUCAACCAUACAUGGUAUAUAUCAUGUUUAUGUUCAAUAAAAUAUAUAUUGUAUCUUUUAUUAAAACUAUGUACCGGCAAAUUUUUUAUAUAUCACAAGGGUUUGAGUACUCAUACUGGUUUUAAUUUGUAUUUUGAACUAAAAAUACCAGCCUUUUGUUCAUUAUUGUUUCACAUUUUAGGAUAUAUGUCUUGUUUCAUCUUUUUUUUAAGUUUUCCCCACGAUCAACAUUCGCCUCAUUAAAUGCGUAAACACGUACAAAUUCA